CGUGACACCGUCCCGCUAUUACAAUAAAAGAAGAGCACGCCCCGCCCACUGGAGAGAUCGCUUUUGUCUUUUGGAGAUUUAAUACUUUAAGUUUUAUGUUGGAGUUGCUGGAAUUAUUCUACAGUACAUAAUGGAAAAGAUUCGGCCUUAUAGUGACCACAGCACAGUGACCGUGGAGUUCUGAAACAGCCGGACCCCAGAGGAAAAGCUUCUCAAGCCAACACCCAGCUAGCUUGGAUAAGGCCUCUGAUGAGAUUCCUCUGAUGAGACGCCAUGCAAAAAGAAUGAUGAGUCUCGUCGGCUCAACGUACACAUGUGAGCAAACACUUUCUCUGUUACCUCUGAACAAAAGCAGACUGAAAACCAAAAUUGUCGACAGCCAUCUCUGUGAUGUCUUUCGUUUGACCACCAAACUUAAUUCUGACCUGCCAGCCAUCUUUCACUGCCAACCCACUGAGUGCAACACUGUUCCUAUUUCAGAAAUCAAACACGAAAACAAACUGGCAAAAUAAAGAAAACUGAAGAGCUAACUAAGAAGCAACAUGAAAAGAAAAAAAGACAGUGGUCAGUAUGGAAUAAGAAUUCUACUGUACUCACUACUAAAAUCUGACUCCAGCUCCACACUGACCCUACAGCUCAGUCUAAGUGAGACUUAUAGUUAGUAAGGCCUCAAAACUAAAUAAGCCAAUCAAGCAGACUAGAUGAAUGCAGAUAAGAGAUUUUAUUUUGUAAUCAGCGCUGAUACAAGAAUUGAGAUGCUCACGCAUGAGCGUCCCAACAACCUCUCUCCGCGGAACUCCAACUACAGCCUUUAUAUACAUUUCCCUUAUCUUCCCAAUGCAACACGUCACUGGUUCUUUGCCUAGACAAUCCCACCCAUCUUUCUUUUUAGACCUUUUAGAUUCUUUUUUUACACCAUUAUCUUUGAAUUUACAACUUUUCGAAUACCAUUAUAAUUAAACUUCCCUAAAUCAUUAUAUUAAAAAUUGGGCGUUUCCGCCCCCACCAGUGGGAUUGUCUUCGGCCUCACUCUCGCCAACACCUCAUUCUUCUUCAGGAGACAGCAUGGGUAAGUUCUCAGUACUUCAGGGGCCAACACCCUUUUCUUUUAUUACACUCUACACUUCACGGCUUUUCUGAUUUAUCCGCUGUCUUCUACGUAUGUACUCUAGAUAUUUCGCCUGGUACCACCAUUGCCAUCCAGCACGCACUGCGUUUACUUCAUGAUGAGAUCACUGCCGCUCAAGGUACCAGUGGAGCGAAGAUUGACCAUAACAAUCUAGGGUGCGUCUCUGCCAUUGAUUGGUCCAAGUUUGGAAAGCCUGGUACCGCAGAGAAGGCCUGCCAGACUGACAUCAUUGAUACAACGAUUUGUUCUCCAAAGCCCUUGCAGCCUGUGUGCAAGGCCCAUGACAGACCAACAUGCCGUGUUAAACCUUAUAUUGUUCUCAAGCUCAAACGUCCUAACAAAUAAACCCUAC